AUGUGUUGCUUGGAUAUACCAGAUACCAUCAAAAAAAUUGCAAAAUAUCUUAGACACUGUCUUUGGAGAGGAUCAGACAUGGAAGAUCACAGGCCAGCAAUAGUUGCUUGGAGUGUGGUGUGUAGACCUAAAAAUAAAGGAGGCUUGGGAAUUUGCAACUUAAGUGUGCAAAACAAUGCUCUUCUGCUGAAAAACUUGCACAAAUUCUUUAACAGACACAACAUUCCAUGGGUAAAUUUGAUUUGGGAAACUUAUUACAGUAAUGGCAUGUUUCCUGGUAAGAACAUGGUUGGAUCUUUUUGGUGA
rnacentral:rRNA from 1 species